UACACACUGCUGUCCAACAACACCACCGCUCCCCCCUUAUCAGCUUCCUUGAUAAUUAAAUCAUGUGCAACCAUGAAAGCCCUGAGUGCAUCAUAUUCCUCCUUGGUCAUGUUAUUUUUUGUAUUUUUGUAUUUAAUUUAUACAGAAUUUUU